CUACGGGUCGCAGCAGUGGGGAAUAUUGGACAAUGGGCGCAAGCCUGAUCCAGCAAUACCGCGUGUGUGAAGAAGGCCCGAGGGUUGUAAAGCACUUUCAGUAGGGAGGAUUGAUUUUACGGAUAAUACCCGUGAAGUUUGACGUUACCUACAGAAGAAGCACCGGCUAACUCAGUGCCAGCAGCCGCGGUAAUACUGAGGGUGCAAGCGUUAAUCGGAAUUACUGGGCGUAAAGCGCGCGUAGGUGGUUAGCUCAGUUGGGUGUGACAGCCCCGGGCUCAACCUGGGAACUGCAUUCAAUACUGUCUAGCUAGAGUACGGUAGAGGGAAGUGGAAUUCCGCAUGUAGCGGUGAAAUGCGUAGAGAUGCGGAGGAACACCAGUGGCGAAGGCGACUUCCUGGACCGAUACUGACACUGAGGUGCGACAGCGUGGGGAGCAAACAGGAUUAGAUACCCGGGUAGUC
rnacentral:rRNA from 1 species